CAAUCUGCCCUUCACUCUGGGACAAGCCCUGGAAACGGGGUCUAAUACCGGAUAAUACUCCUGCCUGCAUGGGUGGGGGUUGAAAGCUCCGGCGGUGAAGGAUGAGCCCGCGGCCUAUCAGCUUGUUGGUGGGGUAAUGGCCUACCAAGGCGACGACGGGUAGCCGGCCUGAGAGGGCGACCGGCCACACUGGGACUGAGACACGGCCCAGACUCCUACGGGAGGCAGCAGUGGGGAAUAUUGCACAAUGGGCGAAAGCCUGAUGCAGCGACGCCGCGUGAGGGAUGACGGCCUUCGGGUUGUAAACCUCUUUCAGCAGGGAAGAAGCGCAAGUGACGGUACCUGCAGAAGAAGCGCCGGCUAACUACGUGCCAGCAGCCGCGGUAAUACGUAGGGCGCAAGCGUUGUCCGGAAUUAUUGGGCGUAAAGAGCUCGUAGGCGGCUUGUCACGUCAGAUGUGAAAGCCCGGGGCUUAACCCCGGGUCUGCAUUCGAUACGGGCUAGCUAGAGUGUGGUAGGGGAGAUCGGAAUUCCUGGUGUAGCGGUGAAAUGCGCAGAUAUCAGGAGGAACACCGGUGGCGAAGGCGGAUCUCUGGGCCAUUACUGACGCUGAGGAGCGAAAGCGUGGGGAGCGAACAGGAUUAGAUACCCUGGUAGUCCACGCCGUAAACGUUGGGAACUAGGUGUUGGCGACAUUCCACGUCGUCGGUGCCGCAGCUAACGCAUUAAGUUCCCCGCCUGGGGAGUACGGCCGCAAGGCUAAAACUCAAAGGAAUUGACGGGGGGCCCGCACAAAGCAGCGGUAG
rnacentral:rRNA from 2 species